AGAGUAUAACAAUAAUAGUACUACCCUGUAGUAAAAAGAUAUGAUUUAUGCAAUUGUGUUUUUUGUCUAUUAUAGCCAAUAAUAAUUAUUAACUAAAAUAUAAUAAGAUAACUAACCGAGAAAUCAACAAAGUUAAAACUAUGAUAACAUUUUUUUUAAAUUUAAUUUUAUAGGCCAAAUUUGGGAAUUAAGACUCAAAAAAACUAAAGUACUUUCCAUCUGGAAAAAAUCCACUUCUUUUAAGA